GUGUUUGUAGAAAGAAGACAUGGUUGGCAUCUCCCUGACAGGGCGGGAACAGCAUCCCGGACUUGCCUGUUAACGUUAUCACACAUCCGGUGUAUCUGAUUACCAUUUUUUUUU